rnacentral:rRNA from 1 species
CCUACGGGAGGCAGCAGUCGAGAAUCAUUCGCAAUGGGCGAAAGCCUGACGAUGCGACGCCGUGUGAGCGAUGAAGGCCUUAGGGUCGUAAAGCUCUUUCGCUUGGGAACGGGUACCAGGUAAAGAAGCACCGGCUAACUCCGUGCCAGCAGCUGCGGUAAUACGGAGGGUGCAAGCAUUAAUCGGAUUUAUUGGGCGUAAAGGGCGCGUAGGCGGAAUGAUAAGUCAGAUGUGAAAUCCCGGGGCUCAACCUCGGAACUGCAUUUGAAACUGUCAUUCUAGAGGGUAGAUGGAGAAAACGGAAUUCCACAAGUAGCGGUGAAAUGCGUAGAUAUGUGGAAGAACACCGGUGGCGAAGGCGGUUUUCUAAUUUACCUGACGCUGAGGCGCGAAAGCAAGGGGAUCAAACAGGAUUAGAUACCCUUGUAGUC